rnacentral:rRNA from 1 species
UACAGAGGGGGCAAGCGUUGUUCGGAAUUACUGGGCGUAAAGGGCGCGUAGGCGGCCUUCUAAGUCGAACGUGAAAUCCCCGGGCUCAACCCGGGAACUGCGUCCGAUACUGGAAGGCUUGAAUCCGGGAGAGGGAUGCGGAAUUCCAGGUGUAGCGGUGAAAUUCGUAGAUAUCAAGCGGAACACCGGUGGCGAAGGCGGCCUUCUGGACAGUGACUGACGCUGAGACGCGAAAGCGUGGGGAGCAAACAGG